AGACUAAUGACUGAAGCUUCAAGACUUUGACAUGUGUGAAAACAUGAAAUGGUAAGUCAAUACAAAGACAGCAUAUUCCUGGAAUUUGGUUUUGAGCUUGUUUUCAUUUCACCUUUCUCAGUAAUCUGGGUGUAGCUUAUUUUGACUCUUCCUUUGAUUAAACAAUUCAGACCCUUGGCUCUUAUUGUUCUUGCUGGUGUGGUAUGUUCACGGCUGAAAAGGUGGUCAGAAGGGGAAAGGAGGAAGUGAGAAGAAAGAAACAGGGAAAUGACAGAGUGUUGCUCAGUUGCCCAGGCUAGAGUGCAAUGGCAUGAUCUUGGCUCACUGCAGCCUCCACCUCCUGGGUUCAAGUGAUUCUCGUGCCUCAGUCUCCCAAGUAGCUGGGAUUACAGGCUGGAGCACGAUGGCAUGAUCAUGGCUCACGGCAAACUCCGCCUCCCUGGUUCAAGUGAUUCUCCUGCCUCAGCCUCCUGAGUAGCUGGGAUUACAGGCAUGUGCCACCAUGCCCCGUUGGCCAGGCUGGUCUCGAACACCUUACCUCAGGUGAUCCUCCCGCCUUUGGGAUUACAGCAGGCUGAGGAAUUACCAAGGAGGCAGGAGGUGGAGCAAAACACACCAAGCCUGAUGCCAGUCAUUGACAAUAUUAUGGUUAGUACUUACUGAGGGCUGACUAUGGUUGAAACUGCCUUUGCAAAAUUAUGACUGAGACAGUGAAAGAGAUCUAACUUAACCAACGCUCUCUUGCCUCUAACCUCCAAGCUGUCCUUGUUCAUUGC
rnacentral:lncRNA from 1 species